UCCGAGUUGACCCCGGCAGUCUCCUGCGAGUCCCCGCCAUUACGCGCUGGCAACACAGGACAAGGGUUGCGCUCGUUGCGGGACUUAACCCAACAUCUCACGACACGAGCUGACGACAGCCAUGCACCACCUGUAUACCGACCACAAGGGGGGCCGUAUUUCUACGGCUUUCCCGACCAUGUCAAGCCUUGGUAAGGUUCUUCGCGUUGCGUCGAAUUAAACAACAUGCUCCACCGCUUGUGCGGGUCCCCGUCAAUUCCUUUGAGUUUUAAUCUUGCGACCGUACUCCCCAGGCGGUGUGCUUAAUGGUUUCCCUCCGCCGCUGAAACCCUAAGAAAUUGACGGGGGCCUGCACAA
rnacentral:misc_RNA from 1 species